rnacentral:lncRNA from 1 species
CCCAUUCUAUCUGCAAAGCUGACCCUGUGAUUGUGUCCUAACAGCAGUACAGUGCUGGUCAGGAGAGAUGAAAAAUCAACACCAACAAAAUACCUCAUCUUAUUCCCAUCCUGAAAUGACUCUUCUACAGUGGCUUCUGUAUCAGGACACAGAUUCUGCCUUCCAUCAGUCUAAGGUCCAGACCUCUUCACAGCACUUGGCUUAUGGUCCAGAUUUCAAGUGCCAGUUACCCAGAAACACUAAGCAUAUGUAAGUGAUCAAUCCUGAAUUUGCACAUUACAGUAAGGACCAGCACUGUCCAGCCUGCAGAAUACCAAAGAGCAGUAGAAGAAAAUGAGAGCUUAUUUACUUGAACUUGACAGCCUAAUAAAGCAAAGCACGUGAGGAAAAACAGCUCUAUAAUUGCAUGAAGUUAGACAGUAAAUUAGCUGUACCCAGCAGAAGAAAGCAUCUCAGACUAUUGGAUUUCAGCAUAUGGCAAAAAGGCAAGUAAAAUAGUAGGCAUUAUUAGGGAUGCAAAUAGAAGAGGAG